UACAGAGGGGGCAAGCGUUGUUCGGAAUUACUGGGCGUAAAGGGCGCGUAGGCGGCCUUCUAAGUCGAACGUGAAAUCCCCGGGCUCAACCCGGGAACUGCGUCCGAUACUGGAAGGCUUGAAUCCGGGAGAGGGAUGCGGAAUUCCAGGUGUAGCGGUGAAAUGCGUAGAUAUCUGGAGGAACACCGGUGGCGAAGGCGGCAUCCUGGACCGGCAUUGACGCUGAUGAGCGAAAGCGUGGGGAGCGAACAGG
rnacentral:rRNA from 1 species